AAGUCUAUUGCCUUUGGUCUCAGUAUUGCAAAUACUGGUGGGAAUAACAUUUAUUCUAGGCUUU
rnacentral:tRNA from 1 species